AGGGGAUGAUCUCUCGAUCUGCGAACGGCUCCGCAAACCGGUUGUAAUUCAUCGUACGUCCAGCUCGGUUUCGGGCGUCGGUCCUCCGGGGCCGGCGCUGGAUCCGGGCACCGCUUAUAUGGAUAUCCCUGGUAAUUCUGGGGCUAAUACAUGGCACAAACACUGAACUGGCUCGGUCCUGCGGGCAACCGCAGGGCACCCCGGGCCGGGGACGUGCGAGUCUUCCAACCAAAUUCGGCUUGGGGUCUCUUUUAUCCUUCGGGACGGAACGCACGUCUGAACCUGCUCCCGCCUCGUGCGGGACCGGGUCCGGGCACCGAGCUUUCUUCCGGUUGCGGGUUUGGGUUAACCCCUGGGUUCGCUUCCGGGGAUUGCGGAGUCCUGGUCCUGGGCAGGUAGGUACUGCGGCUUCCGACCUAUCAACUAGAAUGCGGUAAAAUGGGCUGCAAUGGUCACAACGGGUACAGAGGAUUAGGGUUCGAUCCUGGAGAGUGGGCCUGAGAGAUCGCUCCUACUUCUAAGGAAGGCAGCAGGCGCGCAAAGUUCCCCUUGGGCUACUGCCUGAGGGCGCUAGGGGACAUAUGAAUGGCUAUCAAUUUUGGUGGCCAAUUCAAAUGGGUCUGUUGUAAAUAGGCUCUCGAGUAACAAUGGGAGGACAAGUCUGGUGGAUAGGGAACCCUUCGCAGAUGGCACGAAAAUUCCCCCCACGCCAGAUGUUUACAUCAUGUUGUAGGCAGAAAGCCGGGUUAAGCUCCGGCUGUACAACUGUAAAUUGCAGGGAACACCAGGUACGGGUGGAAGUACCCCAGCCCAGGGAAACAUAACCGGGGUCCCAGUCUUUUGACUGGGGGUUACAAUCUUCCAUUCAGGGGCCUUCGUCCAGGCCAGCCACUUCGAGUGACAACCACCCUGGUCAAUCUGCAGCCAAGCCGCUAUACCACAUCCGUGGAGUGCGGAAGGUUCAGAGACUAUAAUCAGUUGGGCGCAAGCUUAAGGAAUAGUCCACUCCCCCCGGGAACGGGGCCAGCAAAAGUAUCGGGAUGUCGCUUACCCGAGAGGCAUGCUGGAUCCUUCGAAGUGCGGGUGUAUUAAAAAUCCCCGUGCGAGGUACAGGAUGGUAUUAUGGGCCAGCACCCGCGGUAAUUCCAGCUCCAAUAGCAUACGUUAAAGUUGUUGCGGUUAAAACGCUCGUAGUCGCGGUUGGGCCAACAGAAGGUUCGGGCGGCUUAAGCUGGGCAAAACACGCGUCCUCGCAAGGGGGCGCGUGCCGGCGAUACGCCGCUCGGGCUCGACGUUGGUACCGACCAAAGUGCCCUCCGACGUGCGGCUUGCCGCUUACAGGUCCGUUCGCGGGCUGGUUGGGGGGUGCCCGAUUGCCGUGAUUAAACUGGCGUGAUCAAGGCAGGGCACACGCGCUCCUUGAACAGCACAGCAUGGCAUGAGGACAGCCGGGCGGCUCGUUCCCAGACCCCUGAACAAAGCUGGGGGACGGACGUUCCGGUGCACUUAAAGGGUUGUUUCAGGGUAGCCGAAUUGCCGGGCGAGUGGUGAAAUACGUUGACCCUGGCAAGUCGACCAAAGGCGAAAGCAGCUACCCGGGGCCUUCCCCUUGAUCAAGAGCGAAAGUUAAGGGCUCGAAGACGAUCAGAUACCGUCGUAGUCUUAACUAUAAAUGCUACUGACCAGGUAUAGGGCGUUGUCCAUACCGACUCUCUCCGGACCUUAGGGAAACCAAAGUCUUUGAGUUCCGGGGGGAGUAUGGUCGCAAGUCUGAAACUUAAAGGAAUUGACGGAAGGGCACACAAAGAGUGGAACCUGCGGCUUAAUUUGACUCAACACGGGCCAACUCACCGGGGCAAGAUACAAUGAUGAAGGACAGGCAGAAAGACCUUUCUUGAUGAUGUAAGUGGUGGUGCAUGGCCGUUCUUAGUUCGUGGAGUGAUCUGUCUGGUCUAUUCCGAUAACGAGCGAGACCCUAGUCCCUAACUAGGGGCGGCAGCCAGGCUCUUGUCUUCUACCCGGGGAAGCGGUUCGCCGUGGAGCCGGGGAUGGGGCAUCUGUACCAGCUGUCGCCUAUGAGCGCGAGCUCCUUCUUAGGGAGACCGGGGCCGAAAAGGUCUCUGAAAUGGGGUAAUAACAGGUCAGUGAUGCCCUUAGAUGUUCCGGGCCGCACGCGGGUUACAAUGGCAAGCAAAACGGGCGUACCUCCCGCAAACACGUCCCUCUGGGGCGUGGGGGGGUAGUCCUUCCACCUAACGGUGAUAGUAAUCCUUAGAGCUUGCCCCGCCUGGGCUAGUCUUUUGGAACUAUUGGUCUUAAACUCGGAAUUUUUAGUAGUCGCGGGUCAUUAACCCGCGACGAAUUAGUCCCUGCCCUUUGUACACACCGCCCGUCGCUGCUACCGAUUGGGUAUGGCAGUUACGCGUUCGGAGGUUGGGGAGUCCGGGGUCGCUGCUCACGUGGUGGCCCCUUCUCCGGCUGAAGUCCUACUUACUGCCGUGCCUAGAGGAAGCAGA
rnacentral:rRNA from 1 species